UGACGUCGGUUCCCCCUCCUGCCUGAAGUCCAGCAGGAGGAUUUUACGACGUCGUAGAGAGUUUGGGGUCUUUUCACCCAGAAAGCUUCAGGCUGCCGCCAAAACAAAAACAGCUUCCUGGUUUUGUGGGACCCAACAAGC